AACGAACGCUGGCGGCAGGCCUAACACAUGCAAGUCGAGCGGACCCUUCGGGGUUAGCGGCGGACGGGUGAGUAACGCGUGGGAAUAUGCCCUUCUCUACGGAAUAGUCCUGGGAAACUGGGGGUAAUACCGUAUACGCCCUUUGGGGGAAAGAUUUAUCGGGGAAGGAUUAGCCCGCGUUGGAUUAGGUAGUUGGUGGGGUAAUGGCCUACCAAGCCGACGAUCCAUAGCUGGUUUGAGAGGAUGAUCAGCCACACUGGGACUGAGACACGGCCCAGACUCCUACGGGAGGCAGCAGUGGGGAAUCUUAGACAAUGGGGGCAACCCUGAUCUAGCCAUGCCGCGUGAGUGAUGAAGGCCUUAGGGUUGUAGAGCUCUUUCAGCUGGGAAGAUAAUGACGGUACCAGCAGAAGAAGCCCCGGCUAACUCCGUG
rnacentral:rRNA from 1 species